rnacentral:rRNA from 1 species
GACGAACGCUGGCGGCGUGCUUAACACAUGCAAGUCGAACGGGAUUUAGUAGACAGAAGCCUCGGCUAAAGAUUACUACUGAGAGUGGCGAACGGGUGAGUAACGCGUGAGCAACCUGCCUAUGACAGUGGGAUAGCCUCGGGAAACCGGGAUUAAUACCGCAUAAAAUCGUAGAAACACAUGUUUUAACGGUCAAAGAUUUAUCGGUCAUAGAUGGGCUCGCGUCUGAUUAGCUAGUUGGUGAGAUAACAGCCCACCAAGGCGACGAUCAGUAGCCGGUCUGAGAGGAUGAACGGCCACAUUGGAACUGAGACACGGUCCAAACUCCUACGGGAGGCAGCAGUGGGGAAUAUUGCACAAUGGGGGAAACCCUGAUGCAGCGACGCCGCGUGAACGAAGAAGGUAUUCGUAUCGUAAAGUUCUGUCCUAUGGGAAGAUAAUGACAGUACCAUAGAAGAAAGCUCCGGCUAAAUACGUG